rnacentral:pre_miRNA from 1 species
UGGAGGAACAACCCCAGUGGCGGGGCCAGCUCUGGAGCCCUGGAGUCAUCUCCCACAGUAACUAUUAGGAGCUCUCGGUCUGCAGGGCCUGGAGGCUCCGGGGCGGG